rnacentral:tRNA from 44 species
GAACUAUCGAGGGUUCGAAUCCCUCUCUCUCCU